AAGAGAAAACGUCUCUGUGUUGCCGUGGAACCUCUCGGAGUCUUUCCUCACUCCUCCUUAUUCUCCUUUAUGACAUAUGUCACAGUCUGAUGAUACGUUAUGUGCCUGUGUCUCUGCUCAUCUCCGACUCAGAGAACCAUUGAAAGGGUAAAAGAUUCUAUACAUCAUAGCAUCUGGAGAGUCUAGCCUGAUAAAAGCGAGGUCUCAGUACACACAAAUGGGAUGAACCGAUAUAGGAGUGCACUAGCAUCGGCUAGACACUGGGUAGUGUUUACCGACUCUGAGGAAGAGGAGGAGGCAGAGGAGGAGGAGGCACAAACAAGCAGCAGAACUACUUACCACAGCGGCGUGCCUUAUAAUAAGACUGGGAUUUAAACCCCUACUUAAACUGACUUGUAUGUUGUGAAUCACACCUAUAAUCCCAGAACUCGGAAGUCAAGAAGCUCUCUGCGAGUUGGAGGCCAGCCUAGCCCACAAAGCAAGUUUUGGGCCAGCCAGGAGUGCAUAGUCUAAAAACCAAGACAAGAGCUGCUAUGUAUAUGACACACGCCUGCAACCCCAGCACAUAGGGGGUGAAGGCAGAAGGAGCAGGAGUUCAAGGUCACCCUAAGCUACAUAUCAAGUUUUAGGCCAAGAUGGUCUACAUAACACCUUGCCUCAGAAGAGCAACCACCACCACUGUAAGACAACAACAACAACAACCGUAAACUCUAAUGUGCAGAUUACAAAACAAAGUUCCAAACAAGGGGAGGGGUUAUUGGAUCCUUCAGACCAGGAGGUCCAGACAUCAGGCAUUCUGAGAUGUAAAAGGAUUUCACCAAAAUGCCCAACUCAGCCAAUAGCAGUAGAUAUGAGAGAGGAAGAUGAAAGCUAUCAAUUUCCAUCAAUUUCCAUAAAUAGCUCCCCAAAUCAUCUCCUUCGUCACAUCAACCAUCACAAAAUAACUGAAAAAUUAGAAGAAAGCACCUACUGCUGGGUACAGAGGACACAAUAACCGAGGGAAAAAUAUUUAGUGUCCCACAAGGAACUUCUUCAUCCUGCCCGGUGGACUGUCCGGUCUCAGAAGUGCUAGUCUGCUGAGUUUUACCUGUCCACUUUUUUAAAGCUUUACCUCUGAGCAGCUCACAUCCUGGGUCUUUCUCACCCCAUCCUCAUUGGCAUUGCUGGUCAUACUCCCUUUCGCCCCUGAUGUGACGGAGCUUCAUGAAUGCAGUGACCAGGAACGCCCUAACAGGGCAGAAGCACGCUGGUGUGGGGUGUGGGAGGCGGGGCCCGGAGCUGCUUGCCUCUUGCUCAGCCUCCUCCUGCUGCAAGGAAAUAAAUGUGAUGACUCUAUGCAAAUAGCUCUGGCUGUAUGCAAAUAUGAGUUUUGAUACUGUUUUUAUUUCCCAGCAGGUUCAGCCACCAGAUUUAUGGCUUCCAGCCGGAGAUCUGUCUGGGGUAUGUCAGUAGCAGUUUGCAGAUGAAAACUAACAGAUCAUGUCUCAGCCUUUCUGCAACUCAGAAUCCUAGAAAGAAGCUCACAGCCUGUUCAUUCAGCUUCCUCGUUUUAUACAUGAGGAUACAGAGUGGAGUAAGAGUUUGCUGGGUGCAUGUUUUCACAAAGAGGUUGCCCAAUGUCACAUGCCACCAUUUCAGCAAUAAGUAGUAGCUCUUGGAGCUUUUCCCAUGUCUCUCAGUCCAUAUUUUAGAUGAUGGAAACCGAGGCCAAACUGGCUAAACUCUCACAAGAUGCAAUGGAGCCGGUGUCUUUGGAACAAUUUCCUCUAAUCCAGAUACCCUCAAGAAACCUAAGGGGGUUGGAGAGAUGACUCUGUGAAAGCACUUUCCGUGCAAGCAUGGGGACCUGAAAUCCAUCCCUAGAACCCUUGCAGAACAGGCUAAGCAUGGUAACCUCAGAGGCAGAGACAGCUAGAUCCUCAGGGCUUGCUGGGCAACCCAAAGGGCAAUUAAAGACUAAGACUCCUGAGGAAGAGCACCUGAGGUUCACCUUUGGUCUCCACAUGCAUGAGUAUACUACAUAUGCACCAUACAAACAAGUGUACAUGAGACACAAAGGAGAGCAGAGGCAGAC
rnacentral:lncRNA from 1 species